rnacentral:rRNA from 1 species
UACGAACCGUCCAAACGUUAUUCGGAAUUACUGGGCUUAAAGGGUUCGUAGGCGGCCUUGUAAGUGGGGUGUGAAAUCCCUCGGCUCAACCGAGGAAUAGCGCUCCAAACUGCAAGGCUUGAGGGAGACAGGGGUAAGCGGAACUGAUGGUGGAGCGGUGAAAUGCGUUGAUAUCAUCAGGAACACCGGUGGCGAAAGCGGCUUACUUGGUCUCUUCUGACGCUGAGGAACGAAAGCUAGGGUAGCGAACGGG